GAUGAACGCUGGCGGCGUGCCUAAUACAUGCAAGUCGAGCGAACAGACGAGGAUCUUUCUCCUCUUACGUUAGCGGCGGACGGGUGAGUAACACGUGGAUAACCUCCCUAUAAGACUGAGAUAACGUCGGGAAACCGGAGCUAAUACCGUAUAAUAUAUUGACCCGCAUGGUUCAAUAGUGAAUGACGGGUUUUCUGUUACUUUUACGUGCUUCCGCGCCGCUUUAGCUAGUUGGUAGGGUCACGGCUUACCAAGGCAACCAGGCGUAGCCGACCGGAGAGAGGGGUCGGCCACCCUGGAACUGAGCCACGGUCAAGAGGACUAAGGGAGGCAGCAGUAGGGAAUCUUACGCAAUGGGGGAAAGCUUGACGGAACGAAGCCGAGUGAGUGGUGAAGGUCUUCGGAGCGUGAAAAUGUGUUAUUAGGGAAAAACAAAUGUGUAAGUAACAAUACCCGUAUUGACGGUACCUAAACAGAAAGCCACGGCUAACUACGUG
rnacentral:rRNA from 1 species